rnacentral:lncRNA from 1 species
GAGCAGCAAUUCUAUCUCUGGUUCGACCCAACUGCUGAUUUCCACACCUACUCCAUCCUCUGGAAUCCACAACGCAUCAUGUAAGAGUCUGAAAAGCUCAAAAUGCGACCUUACUUGCAUUUACAUUGCGCUACACUAUUCUCUGUAGCAUUUACUCAAAAACCGGUGUGUGCGACCAUUGCAGAUUCUCAGUGGACGGGACUCCCAUCAGAGAGUUCAAGAACGCAGAGUCGAUCGGCGUUCCUUUCCCCAAGGCCCAGCCCAUGAGGAUAUUCUCGAGCCUCUGGAACGCGGACGACUGGGCAACCAGAGGCGGGCUCGUGAAAACGGACUGGACACAAGCGCCCUUCACUGCUUCCUACAGCAACUUCAAUGCCGAUAACGCCUGCGUUUGGUCAUCUGGGUCGUCAUCUUGCACUUCAUCUUCAUCUUCUUCGGAUGGUAAUGCAUGGCUAUCAGAAGAGCUCGACUCAACAAGCCAAGAGAGCCUGAAGUGGGUGCAAAGCAACUACAUGAUCUACAACUACUGCACGGAUGCCAAAAGAUUCCCCCAAGGCUUCCCUCCCGAGUGCUCCAUGUCCUAGACGACACAAGACAUUGAUUUUGUAAAAAAUUCGCUGUUCUUUUUCUUCUUUUUCGAGCCAAUUCUAUUAAUUUGUUUUGUGGCCGAGAAGCAAUUGAUAUUUUUUUAUUCUUUGACGAUUGUAGCAUUCCUAUCUUUACUCAAUAAAACAGAAAAUCAUCUUGGAUUUCAUAGUAUUGCUGCGACUCAGUGAGUGGAUACAACACAGAACAAAAUUAAGGGAAUGAAAAUGGAUUUUACAGGCCAGCUCCUGCCUUGAAUAUGAAACUGAUGACACAAUUGAUUACGCCGUCGUAGCUCAGAAAAUUAGAUAAACGCUACGUUGAACAAGUUCUGUUUUUAUGUUGAAUUCAACUCCGAUGUCCUCAUCGAGGGACUGAUUUGGUCGACAUUUCUUCCUGGUCCUUGUGCUCCACAGAAGGAUCAAACAUAGAAAACCGAUCAUCACAAUACCAUCAUGACCAGACAAGCUUUCCAAAUCUGCAAACUCAAAGAACAUCCUUGACUCCAACACAGAAUCAACCAUGAUUUACGGCCGAUCAACCUCAAGUCAACCCAACUUAAAGAGCAAGGUGCCGCAAACUAGGAUCCAAAAAUCGUACUGUGUGCCUGCAACCCCUCCCGCAACUGACGGUACUCUUAGCUGAUUUCACAAACUCUAAUGUUAAAUAGCUUCGGGGACUCUAAUGGCAAUGCUGCACAACCGAACACUUGUAAGUGAGAUAUAACAGGAGUAGUAUCAUAAAGAACCUUCCGAGGAGACAAAUUGUCUAGAACAGGAGUUGGGAGAUCAAGUGAACUGCAGUCUCAAAAGCAAAUUCCCAGAGAUGACAAGGAAGAGCAGACUCAUCAUGAGACCAAGGCCAGUUUCCACUGUAUUGGCAAUGCUUGCAUUCAACGGUCCCAUUUUGAAAUAGAGAUUAUGCACAAUAAAUGCGCCAAUGAAUGCCAUGACUGAGAAGGUAAGAGUGCAUGGUAGAGGAUAAGAACUCGGGUGCUCCAUCACACUAAAUCAUCUAAAGCUUGCACUGAAGUUGAGUCUUCAUAAGGGCAUGAAAGGCUUUAAAAAUGUUGAAAAAUUGAUCUUGAGAUGCGAGGGGAUAAAGCCAAGUAAAUCAAUAAAAUUCAUCAAUAAAACAGCCGUAAUAUUUAUAAAACAGGAGGCAGACCCCAAACAUCAAAAUGAACUAGCUGAAGAGAGGAAGCCCUAGGUCUGUGUACGUCAAAUCACAUAAAUUGUUCCGUCUAGGCGUUCUCCGAAGGAUGGAGAAGAAAGGAGACCAGAGAUUGUGGCAGCAGGAGUUGUGGGUCUGGUGAUGGUUGUAGUGGAAGGCUGGGAUUGUUGUAAAGUUGUUUGUUCGGCAGAGGAGGAAUUUGCAGAGGAAUUUGAGUCACUCGUAUUUAGAUCGAUGGGCUUUUGCCUUUUUGAUACCAAGACAGAAAUAGAGAUGCAGAAAGAAAACAGAGAAUAUAGAAGACAUAAGAAAAGUGUGUGUGUAUAUAUAAAUAUAGAAAGAAUCUCUAGAGAUAGAUAUUGACAACAAAAUUUGUAACCACCAAUGAAGAUAAUAUUUGAAUCAAUCAAGGAUUACAUAUUAUGCGUAGAUUCUGAUUGUGUGGUGAUUCUGGUAACGUUAUCAAUCUCGGAUUGGAUAUCAUGCGAAUAUCUUGAUUAUACUGUGAGUCAUAUGCGAGCUAGAGAUAAUAUUUGAUUCUGGUGUGAGCUCGAAUAGUUAGCAGUGGAUUGCGUCAACAGAUAGCUUCAGAUAGAAUCUUCCUGAUAAUCACUCAAAUCCUAAGUUUGUCAUCCAUACAAAUUGCACAACCAAAGAAGCAUCGGCAUAAUGCUGCUGCAAAUUCAAGACGUCAAAGCAUAUAUAUAAGGCAAAACCUGAAGAUUACCUUCCUCCAACCAAACAAAGUCCAUUUCCAUCUUCUUUUCCCAGCUAAAAGAAUGCACCAAUCACCAGUAAAAGAAAACUCCUUGUACUUAUCCUUUCAAACCAUCCUUGCAAAUUGUCAAUAUGCGGAAUUUCUGAAAAAAGGUGAUAAUAAUCGACUCUUUUAAAUCAGAGAGAAAUAUAAGUUGAACAAAGAGACAGAACACGAAUACACGAAUAAUUUAAAGGAAAUAAAAAUUGAAUAGAGGGAAAGAUAAGAAAGGAUCUGAAACAGAGGAUUUCGGGUGCCUCUGCAGACAUUUGCUGCACGGAAUUCUCUUCAUGAUCUCAACUUGCAAUCUCCGUCAAAAAAUUUUGAUUGAACAAAUAAAGAGGUUAACCCGAGUGAAGUUAACAAAAAUUGAUUGACUUGAGCCAACGCAACAUUCGGCUGAACUUUUUUUACAUUUUAGAACCAAAAAAGCAUGCAUAAUCUGAACAAUUUUAAAUGUAAUUUAUUAUAUUCUCUCCAAAGAUUUGAGGUGUUGUAUGUUAAGUUGAGGUGAAAUAGCAAAGUUAAAUUUGAAAAGGUAAGAAAUGAGAAAAAUAAAAUAGAAUCGGAAUGUAUCUAGAUAGAACGCAUUCCCGAAUCGUACAUGUAGAAUAGUGGGAGGAGACAUGUGGGUUCUCAAAGAGUACGAGUUUUCAAUAUGUCCGCUCUUUGGUGUCGAAAGAGAACGGACUUUUGCUUUCCAUGAAAGUUUUUAGAUGCUUCUCCUAUAAUGUCUCUGCCUAAGAUACAUGAAGAUGAUAGUCGACGUGAUCUCUAAUGUAUGCAAAUUAUAGUGCACGGGAAGAAGGUACGUACCCCACCAUAUGAGAUCCACCGACAUUAGGUGAAGGAAAAGCAGCGACCGCUCAUGGUGAAGCAUGUAGCUGGUAGGGGUGAGCAGCGGUCUAGGGUCGACCCUGGACCGACCCUAGACCGGCCCAACCCUGCCGGUCUUGGUCCGGUUCCCAAGGGGACCGGGUCGGUCCUUGAUCCUGAAUUUCCAGAACCAACACUGUGCGGGUUGGUCCUCGAUCCUAAGAGUUUUUGGUCAGUCCAACCCUGGACCAACCCUGUAUAUUAUAUUAUAUUAUUUAUAAUUAUUUUAUAUAUUCAAACCUAAGUAAAAUGUCUGUUAUAUUAUAUUAUAUUAAGAUGUUAUAUCAAUAGAACUAAUAAUAAUUUCAAUUUAAAACUUUUGUUGAGUAUUAAUUAUGUGUCAUUUGUUUUGUUUUCAGGUAUUUAGAAGUUCAAGUGAAUUAACAAAAUGUGAAGUUAUAUAUUCAUGGUUUAUAUUAAGUAUUUUGAACUUUUUAUGGUUUAAUUGUAUUUUAUUAAUGAAUUUUAGCUGCACUUUAUUUUUCAAUUUGUGUCAAAUGGUAUAAAUUUUUUAAGAGUAGAGUAAUACUGCAGUUGCUACGGUGAUUUGCUAGUCAAGUGGUGUGAAGCUCAUUUUUUGGUUGAGUGGACUUUACAAUCAAAUGCAAGAAAACGCUUUUGCAUAUGGUGUUAUGAAUAUUAAAGAUAGAUGAUUACAAGAACUUUCCAUCUUGUCCCAUAUCUCGAUGAGCGGUUAAUAGCUACGGAAUUUCUAUUAUUGUGUCAUCUUAAAUUUACUAAAUAUGUAUUGGUAUUUAUAAUUUAGUUGCACAAUGCCGCAUUAUCGAUGGAUGUGUAAUUUGAAUUUGUAGGUUUACUUUUUUAAGGAGUAUAAAAAAUAAGACGAAAAAAAUUAUUGAUCGGUCUCGGGUUGACCCUGAAACCGGACCGAACCCAUUGGGUCGGUCCGGUCCUUGGUCCCAAGCUCAAUAGGGUCGGUUCUCGGUCCUAAAAAUUGAGGACCGACACUGUAUGGGUGGGUCCUAGGGUUAGGGGAUGGCCCGAAUCAACCCGGACCAUGCUCACCCCUAGUAGCUGGUGGUGAACAGACGAUAGAGCCCGUCUCCGUGUGGGGAAGCUCCAUGUCGUCUCGAACCGCGUUGCCUCAUAAUUUAUUUGCAUGCUGGACGUGCGUUGGUAGUGGUAGUGUCACUGUUUGUCCUCUUCUUUUUUAAAGCAACUUCUAUAUUGGAAGCCAACUGUCCACAGCUGAGUUAGCGUGGGGGGUUGACUCCCACCAAUCCUUCGUUGCCUCUCCUCAUCUCUCACACGUUUUCUCCCAUCUUCAUCUUCGGUACGAAGCUAUAAAUACCAUCUCCACAUCUCUCCCAUUUCAUCAAUCAACGCAAACACUCCACAUCUCUCUCUCCUCUUCAGUCCUCACUCUCAUAUCAUCUCAUUGAGAUUUGCUUCUCUUCUUCAACUACAGCAGCAGCAGCAGCAGACAGAACACGCCCAAUAUGGCCUCCCUUUCUACUUCUUCGCUUUGCAUCGCCACUCUGCUUCUCGUGGUCGUUUCUUGGGGGACGUUUGCUUCCGCCCGCAACUUCUAUCAAGACUUCGACAUAACCUGGGGUGAUGGCCGAGCUCAGAUCCUCAACAACGGCGACCUCCUCACUCUCUCCCUCGACAAGGCCUCCGGCUCCGGCUUCCAGUCCAAGAACGAGUACUUGUUCGGCAAGAUUGACAUGCAGCUCAAGCUAGUUCCCGGCAACUCCGCUGGCACCGUCACCGCAUACUAUGUAAGUCUCCUUCUUAAUCAGUUUGUGCCCCUUUAUCUUCAAGCUUCCUUCUUUUUUUCUCGAUCAGAUUUUUAAUUUUUGCUAUGUUGUUAUUCUACAGUUAUCUUCAAACGGGUCGGCGUGGGAUGAGAUAGACUUCGAGUUCUUGGGGAACUUGAGCGGCGAUCCAUACAUUCUCCACACCAACGUCUUCAGCCAAGGCAAGGGUAACCGAGAGCAGCAAUUCUAUCUCUGGUUCGACCCAACUGCUGAUUUCCACACCUACUCCAUCCUCUGGAAUCCACAACGCAUCAUGUAAGAGUCUGAAAAGCUCAAAAUGCGACCUUACUUGCAUUUACAUUGCGCUACACUAUUCUCUGCGGCAUUUACUCAAAUACCUUUGUGCGCGACCAUUGCAGAUUC